AGAUUGAACGCUGGCGGCAGGCCUAACACAURCAAAGUCGAGCGGUAGCACAGAGAGCUUGCUCUCGGGUGACGAGCGGCGGACGGGUGAGUAAUGUCUGGGAAACUGCCUGAUGGAGGGGGAUAACUACUGGAAACGGUAGCUAAUACCGCAUAAUGUCGCAAGACCAAAGUGGGGGACCUUCGGGCCUCAUGCCAUCAGAUGUGCCCAGAUGGGAUUAGCUAGUAGGUGGGGUAACGGCUCACCUAGGCGACGAUCCCUAGCUGGUCUGAGAGGAUGACCAGCCACACUGGAACUGAGACACGGUCCAGACUCCUACGGGAGGCAGCAGUGGGGAAUAUUGCACAAUGGGCGCAAGCCUGAUGCAGCCAUGCCGCGUGUGUGAAGAAGGCCUUCGGGUUGUAAAGCACUUCAGCGGGGAGGAAGGCG
rnacentral:rRNA from 1 species